rnacentral:rRNA from 1 species
GACGAACGCUGGCGGCGUGCUUAACACAUGCAAGUCGAACGAGGUCCAAGGUGUAGCAAUACAUCUGAAGACCUAGUGGCGAACGGGUGCGUAACACGUGAGGAACUUGUCCCGGUCUCUGGGAUAACAGUUGGAAACGACUGCUAAUACCGGAUGACGUCGGAGCAUCGCAUGGUGCGCUGACGAAAGGGUUACUGGAUCGGGAGAGCCUCGCGGCCUANCAGCUUGUUGGUGGGGUAACGGCCCACCAAGGCAUCGACGGGUAGCUGGUCUGAGAGGAUGAUCAGCCACACUGGGACUGAGACACGGCCCAGACUCCUACGGGAGGCAGCAGUGGGGAAUCUUGCGCAAUGGGCGAAAGCCUGACGCAGCGACGCCGCGUGAGGGAUGACGGCCUGG